rnacentral:rRNA from 1 species
AGUGAACGCUGGCGGUAGGCCUAACACAUGCAAGUCGAACGGCAGCACAGUAAGAGCCUGCUCUUACGGGUGGCGAGUGGCGGACGGGUGAGGAAUACAUCGGAAUCUACUUUUUCGUGGGGGAUAACGUAGGGAAACUUACGCUAAUACCGCAUACGACCUACGGGUGAAAGCAGGGGAUCUUCGGACCUUGCGCGAUUGAAUGAGCCGAUGUCGGAUUAGCUAGUUGGCGGGGUAAAGGCCCACCAAGGCGACGAUCCGUAGCUGGUCUGAGAGGAUGAUCCGCCACACUGGAACUGAGACACGGUCCAGACUCCUACGGGAGGCAGCAGUGGGGAAUAUUGGGCAAUGGGCGGAAGCCUGAUCCAGCCAUACCGCGUGGGUGAAGAAGGCCUUCGGGUUGUAAAGCCCUUUUGUUGGGAAAGAAAAGCAGCAGGUUAAUACCCCGCUGUUCUGACGGUACCCAAAGAAUAAGCACCGGCUAACUUCGUG